AUUUAUGGUGCCAAUUCUGCAAAAUGGAUUAUGAGCAUGCAGGUGUUGGGGCUAUAGAGUUUAUUAUAUGCCAUUCAGAGGUCUCAAUUGCACUUGCAGAAGAGAAGAAGAUACCUGAGCUAUUCAAGACAUUUCCAAAUGCAACAAAGUAUCUC